UACGAAGGGGGGCUAGCGUUGUUCGGAAUCACUGGGCGUAAAGCGCACGUAGGCGGCUUUGUAAGUUAGAGGUGAAAGCCCGGGGCUCAACUCCGGAAUUGCCUUUAAGACUGCAUCGCUAGAAUUGUGGAGAGGUAAGUGGAAUUCCGAGUGUAGAGGUGAAAUUCGUAGAUAUUCGGAAGAACACCAGUGGCGAAGGCGACUUACUGGACACAUAUUGACGCUGAGGUGCGAAAGCGUGGGGAGCAAACAGG
rnacentral:rRNA from 1 species